AGUGAACGCUGGCGGUAGGCCUAACACAUGCAAGUCGAACGGCAGCGCAGUAAGAGCUUGCUCUUACGGGUGGCGAGUGGCGGACGGGUGAGGAAUACAUCGGAAUCUACUUUUUCGUGGGGGAUAACGUAGGGAAACUUACGCUAAUACCGCAUACGACCUACGGGUGAAAGCAGGGGAUCUUCGGACCUUGCGCGAUUGAAUGAGCCGAUGUCGGAUUAGCUAGUUAGCGGGGUAAAGGCCCACCAAGGCGACGAUCCGUAGCUGGUCUGAGAGGAUGAUCAGCCACACUGGAACUGAGACACGGUCCAGACUCCUACGGGAGGCAGCAGUGGGGAAUAUUGGACAAUGGGCGCAAGCCUGAUCCAGCCAUACCGCGUGGGUGAAGAAGGCCUUCGGGUUGUAAAGCCCUUUUGUUGGGAAAGAAAAGCAGCAGGUUAAUACCCCGCUGUUCUGACGGUACCCAAAGAAUAAGCACCGGCUAACUUCGUG
rnacentral:rRNA from 1 species